rnacentral:tRNA from 2 species
GCGCCCGUAGCUCAACGGACAGAGCGCCUGACUUCGAAUCAGUAGGCUGGGAGUUCGAGUCUCCCCGGGCGCG